ensembl:lncRNA
GGCAGAAUGAGCAAACUCAUUUUCUCACACAAUUUGAAUUCCUUGGCUUGGGAAUUUUUAUUUCCCCAGAUUCUUGGGAUUUUUUUCCCUUAGAUUCUUGUUUUGGUUUUUUUUUUUUUUGUUUGUUUGUUUUUUCCCAGAUUCUUGGGAUUUUUAUUUUCCCAGGUUCUUGGGAUUUAUUUUUCCCCCCAGAUUCUUGAGGUUUUUUUUUUCCCCAAAUUCUUGGGAUUAUUUUUUCCCAAAAUUCUUGGGAUUAUUUUUUCCCAAAAUUCUUGGAUUUUUAUUUCCCCAGAUUCUUGGAAUUUAUUUUUCCCUCCAGAUUUCUGGAAUUUAUUUUUCCCUCCAGAUUCUUUGGGUUAUAUUUUUCCCCAAAUUUUUGAGAUUUUUUUUCCCAGAUUUUUGGGAUUUUUAUUCCCCCAGAUUCUUGAGUUUAUUUUUUUCCCCGAAUUUUUGAGAUUAUUUUUCCCAGAUUCUUGGGAUUUUUAUUUUCCCAGAUUCUCAGGAUUUUUUUUUUUUCCCAAAUUAUUGGGAACUCCAGCUUUGGGAAAGAAUCAGGGAUGGAAUUCCAGGGUGGAGAAAGUGCUGAACUUUGGAGAUUUUCUGGCAAUUAAAAAACCUGCUGAGAGUGAAAUUCUGAGCACUUUGUGCCCCUUUUUAGACAAAAAUCACCAUUCUUGUUAAUUGAUACUUAAAAUCACGACACAUUGUUAUUUCAGAGUACUUGUGCAAUUUUUUUUUUCCCUUUUUUGGCUUCUUCCCUUUUAUUUGCUGCUAAAAGUUCUGGUGAAAAUUGUCAGUAUUCUCUUUCCUUGCUCUGGUGGCAGAUGAGGAUGAGGAUGGGGAUCGGAUCACGGUCAGGAGUGACGAGGAGAUGAAGGCCAUGCUGUCCUAUUAUUACUCCACUGUGAUGGAGCAGCAAGUGAAUGGACAAUUGAUAGAGCCUCUGCAGAUCUACCCACGAGCCUGCAAACCCCCUGGGAAACGGAACAUCCAUGGCCUCAAGGUGAACACACGGGCGGGGGCCACCACCACCAGCACCACCAGCAGCGGCGGCGGCGGCUCGGCCGCCUCCGAGGGGCUCCCCAGCACCAGGUGAGGCCCUGCUGCCCUUCCUGCCUUCCCUCGGCUGCUGCUGUCUGUGCCCUGGGGGUUCCAGCCCAGCCCCUCCCCGUGCUCCCAGUCAGGGGUUCCUGCCCAGUGUCCCGCUCAACUCACACUUUUGCCGCUCCCCGAGGCCGUUCCCAGUGUCCCGUCCCUGGUCCCAAAUCCCUCCCCAGCUCUCCCGGAGCCCCUUUGGGUCCUGGAAGGGGCUCUGAGCUCUCCCUGGGUCCUUUCCUUCUCCAGGUGAGCGUUCCCAUCCCAUCAAUCCCAUCCCAUUCCCAGUAUCCCAUCCAUUCCCAGUAUCCCAUCCCAUCCCAUUCCCAGUAUCCCAUCCCAUCCCAUUCCCAGUAUCCCAUCCCAUCCCAUUCCCAGUAUCCCAUCCCAUCCCAUUCCCAGUAUCCCAUCCCAUCCCAUUCCCAGUAUCCCAUCCCAUCCCAUUCCCAGUAUCCCAUCCCAUCCCAUUCCCAGUAUCCCAUCCCAUUCCCAGUAUCCCAUCCCAUCCCAUUCCCAGUAUCCCAUCCCAUUCCCAGUAUCCCAUCCCAUCCCAUUCCCAGUAUCCCAUCCCAUUCCCAGUAUCCCAUCCCAUCCCAUUCCCAGUAUCCCAUCCCAUUCCCAGUAUCCCAUCCCAUCCCAUUCCCAGUAUCCCAUCCCAUUCCCAGUAUCCCAUCCCAUCCCAUUCCUUCCCAGUAUCCCACCCAUACCUGCCUUAUCCCAGUUUAAACCAUUCCCAGUGUCCUGUCCCAUAUCCCAAAUCCCUCUCCAGUUCUCCUGGAGUCCCUUUAGGUCCUACAAGGAGCUCUGAGCUCUCCAUGGGUCCUUUCCUUCUCCCGCUGAACAUUCCCAUCCCAUUCCCAGUAUCCCAUCCCGUCCCUUCCCUGUAUCCCAUCCAUCCCUGGCCUAUCCCAGUUUAAACCAUUCCCUGUGUCCUGUCCCUCCAUCCCUUGUCCCAAAUCUCUCUCCAGCUCUCCUGGAGCCCCUUUAGGUCCUGAAAGGGGCUCUGAGGAUUCCCUGAAUCCUUCCCUUUUCCUGGUGAACAUUCCCAGCUGCUCCAGCCCUCCAUCCCACCCAUUCCCAGUAUCCCACCCAUCCCUUUCCUGUCCCAGUUCAAACCAUUCCCAGUGUCCUGUCCCAUAUCCCAAAUCCCUCUCCAGCUCUCCUGGAGCUCCUGUAAGGGGCUCUGAGGAUUCCUGGAUCCUUCCCUUUUCCAGGGGAACAUUCCCAGCCUGGCUCCAGCACAUCCCAUUCCAUCCCAGUCAGGAAUUCCUGCCCAAUAUCCCAUUAAAAUCUCAUUUAAAGCCAUUCCCUGUGUGCUGUCCCUCAUCCCAAAUCCCUGUCUGAGCUCUCCCUGUUCCUCUCCUGGUGCUCACACAAACCCAAGUGGGUGAUCCCAGGAGUUUGGCAAAUCUUGGGAAUCUGCUCCACCUCCAAAUUCUCACUCUUGGUUCAGCUUUGCAAUUUUAUUUUAUUUUUUUUAUUUUUUUUAAACCAAAACAGCCCCCUGAGUGUGGCUCCUGCCAGAAAAUCUGGGGGUUGGGUGGAUUUUCCAGUGGGAAAAGCAGAAAUUCCUGGUUUUUUGUAGGGGGUGGAGCUGCCCACGUGGGGGUUGCUGGAGAAAGGGGGAUUGGUGGGAAUUCCAUAGGAAAAAAAAAAAAAAAAAAGAGGGAUUGGUGGGAAUUCCAGGGAAAAAAAAUGAGGGAUUGGUGGGAAUUCCAUAGAAAAAAAAAUGAGGGAUUGGUGGGAAUACCAGGGGAAAAAAAUGAGGGGUUGGUGGGAAUGCCACAGAAAAAAAAAUGAGGGAUUAGUGGGAAUUCCAGGGGAAAAAAAAAAGAGGGAUUGGUGGGAAUUCCAGGAAAAAAAAAAUGGGGGUUUGGUGGGAAUUCCAGGAAAAAAAAAUGGGGGGUUGGUGGGAAUUCCAGAGAAAAAAAAUGAGGGGUUGGUGGGAAUUCCACCCCCCCCCCCCCCCCCCCCCCCCCCCCCCC